rnacentral:lncRNA from 1 species
CACAAUUAAGUUUGGAAAAUAUAAAAUGUCAAAGAGUCUUGGUUUUAUCAUCUUGGCUAUGCUUUUAGUAGCAAGCACUGAAAGCAUAUUUAUUUCAAGCUUUAAUACUGAUCUAGAAUCUAAACCAUGUCCUUCAUUUUCUACUAAUUCUGCAGCAUCACCUGAUAGUGGCAGUUGCUCGGGACUUACAACUGAAGAAUGUAUAGCGAAGUCACUUGAGGAAGAUUACACCUUAUACCCCGUCUAUAGAUGCCAAUGAUUUUGUUAAAUAGUUAUUUCUCUUAUGCCAUAUGAAUAGUUUUGUUGUAACCAUCAAUUAUAGAGAAAUUGAUGCUAUAUUUUAACAAAAUAAAGAACUAAUUAUUAUGAGCAUAUGAUGUGUAAUUUGUUCUAUGUACUGAGCAUUGAAUUAAUCUAUCAGAGAGAACUUAGUUAAAUA